rnacentral:rRNA from 1 species
UACGGGGGGGGCAAGCGUUGUUCGGAAUUACUGGGCGUAAAGGGUUCGUAGGUGGCCAACUAAGUCAGACGUGAAAUCCCUCAGCUCAACUGGGGAACUGCGUCUGAUACUGAUUGGCUUGAGUGCAGGAGAGGAACGCGGAAUUCCAGGUGUAGCGGUGAAACGCGUAGAUAUCUGGAGGAACACCGGUGGCGAAGGCGGCGUUCUGGACUGCAACUGACACUGAGGAACGAAAGCCAGGGGAGCAAACGGG